rnacentral:sRNA from 1 species
CCAGGGACUGACAUUGCUUCAUGACUCCUGGCUGCUGUGGAAAAGAAUUUUUCCCCUCCUUCCGAUAGCAAGACAUAGAAAGAGAGAUCCAUGCAGCUCCUCAUGUGAGUGAGAAAUUAAUUCAGCUGUUCCGGAACAAGAGUGAAUUCACCUUUUUGGCCACUGUACAGCAGAAGCCAUCCACUUCAGGAGUGAUGCUGUCCAUUCGAGGACUGGAGCACAGCUAUUUUGAACUGGAGAGCAGCGGCCUGAGGGAUGAGAUUCGGUAUCACUACGUACACAAUGGGAAGCCAAGGACAGAGGCACUUCCUUACCGGAUGGCAGAUGGACGAUGGCACAAGGUUGCACUGUCAGUUAGCGCCUCUCACCUCCUGCUCCAUGUCGACUGUAACAGGAUUUAUGAGCGUGUGAUAGACCCUCCAGAUACCAACCUUCCCCCAGGAAUCAAUUUAUGGCUUGGCCAGCGCAACCAAAAGCAUGGCUUAUUCAAAGGGAUCAUCCAAGAUGGGAAGAUCAUCUUUAUGCCGAAUGGAUAUAUAACACAGUGUCCAAAUCU